rnacentral:rRNA from 1 species
UACGGAGGGGGCUAGCGUUGUUCGGAAUUACUGGGCGUAAAGCGCGCGUAGGUGGUGUGUUAAGUCUGCCGGUCAAAUGCCGAGGCUCAACCUCGAGCACGCCGGGGGAUACUGGCACGCUGGAGACACGUAGAGGCAAGCGGAAUUCCGGGUGUAGCGGUGGAAUGCGUAGAGAUCGGGAGGAACACCAGUGGCGAAGGCGGCUACCUGGACCAGCACUGACACUGAGGCACGAAAAGCGUGGGGAGCAAACAGG